rnacentral:lncRNA from 1 species
AUGGGGGGCAGAGUGUGGCUGGGCUGUGGUGACGCUCGUCCCCUCCAUCACCCUGCCCUGGGCACUGUGCUGGGGCUGGGGAGGCCCCUGCAACCCCAACGGGGUCUGAAGCCCCUGAGGUCUCAGCUGAGCCUCCCAUGGGCAAUGGCAACUCCGGCCUCCUCUGUGCAGAGUUGCAGUGUGGGGAGGGGGUGCUGGGUACCCCCGGUGCUGGCCUCAGCGGCACUGAGCUGCAUCCAGUGCUGCGGUGCAUGGGCUGCAGCAGGGAGGGGGACAGGGUGGUGUGGGGUGUCCUGCGGGUGCUGCAGGGUGCUGGGGGCGCAGCUUCAUCCUGACCCAGCACAGCGGCCGUGGUGGGGACCCUGCCAAGAGCCAGGGCCAAUGGGGUCCCACCUCUGCAGGCUCACAGGACAGCCCCAUCUCCUGCCCCACGGCCUGAGAGGGGGCCUCGGACACGUCCUGGAGCACCCCCGCACCCUCAAAGGGCAGCCACCACCCCGGAGUGGGUGCAUCGCCAGCCCGAGCAUCCUCGGGCCGGUGCAGAAGCUGCAUCCCAGGCACGUGCGCUGGCAGCGGCUGUGUCCUGCCCCCCGGGCGCGCAGCUCCCCCUGCUCCAGGGUGGCUGCGGGCACUUCGGGUCCACAGGGGCAGUGCCACCACCGGGGGGGCUGCCCCGGGGGCCGGAGAUGCUUCACCGCGGCCACCGGCUCCUUCCCGGGUCCCGUCACCCGGAGCCGAUGGUGCCCAUCAGCCCCGCACUGCCCUCCUCUCCCUCCCAACCCUACAUACUUCUUCAUAUGCCCAUAUGGAGUCGGCCGGCGUUAUGGAAUGUUAAGAAGUAUGUAUCUUUGGGCUGGGACCCCCGCACCGGGUCCCGCACCGCCAGCACCGGCGCAGGCAGCGCCUCCGGAGAGACGAUGCGUCGCUGGGGCUGGUAAAAAGGAACCAGAUCAACUUGGAACUGGAUUUGGUCCCCUUCAACCAGCUGCAGCGGCGCAUGCGCUACGGCACCCGCUGAACCCGGCCCGCGGGGGGGGGCUGGCUGCGAGCCCCACGCCCCCCAUCCCAUGGUGGGAUCCGGGAGGUAGAAGGGUCCCUAUGGGAGCAGCCCCCGGGUCCGACCGCUGGGGCCGGGGCAGCCGCAGCGCCGCGGGCUCCGGCUCCCGCUGCGGCGGGAGCGGGACCCGGGGGCGGGACCCGGGAGCGGGGCCGGGAAUUGGGGAAAGCGAAACCGUUGGAGCCGCUUCUUGGAAAUUGGCUGCGUGA